rnacentral:tRNA from 1 species
GAAGAGGUGGCAGAGUCCGGUUUAUUGUAUUCGUCUUGAAAACGAAAGAGGUUAGCGGACUCCAAGGGUUCGAAUCCCUUUCUCUCCUCCA